UACGUAGGGUGCGAGCGUUAAUCGGAAUUACUGGGCGUAAAGCGUGCGCAGGCGGAUGUUUAAGUCAGAUGUGAAAUCCCCGGGCUCAACCUGGGAACGGCAUUUGAAACUGGCGGACUAGAGUUUAGUAGAGGGGAGUGGAAUUUCAGGUGUAGCGGUGAAAUGCGUAGAUAUCUGAAGGAACACCAGUGGCGAAGGCGACUCCCUGGACUAGAACUGACGCUGAGGUACGAAAGCGUGGGUAGCAAACAGGAUUAGAUACCCUGGUAGUCCACGCCGUAAACGAUGUCAACUAGCCGUUGGUCCUAUUUACAGGAUUAGUGGCGCAGCUAACAAAUUAAGUUGACCGCCUGGGGAGUACGGCCGCAAGGUUA
rnacentral:rRNA from 1 species